UACAGAGGGUGCAAGCGUUAAUCGGAGUUACUGGGCGUAAAGGGCGCGUAGGCGGAGAUAUAAGUCAGAUGUGAAAUACCCGAGCUUAACUUGGGGGAGUCGUCUGAUACUGUAUUUCUAGAGUAUUGGAGAGGGAAGUGGAAUUUCCGGUGUAGCGGUGAAAUGCGUAGAUAUCGGAAGGAACACCCGUGGCGAAGGCGACUUCCUGGCCAAAUACUGACGCUGAGGCGCGAAAGCGUGGGUAGCGAACAGG
rnacentral:rRNA from 1 species